GAUAUGACACUGAGCUUCACUGUGUUGGUGAAGAAGAGCUGCAGUUUGCCUCCACCUCUGAAGAAGCACAAUACACCUUUCUGGGUUACCAAUGGGAUACUUCCCAACAGCUUUGUCAUCACAUACAAUAUUCUCAAACAAGAUCUUAAUGGCAUCUACUUUCUCCAGGAACACAGCCCCUGACCUGUGUGUGUUUGCGUAGAGAAGGCAUGCUAUGUACCCCCUAGGAUAUGAAUCUGCCCACCACUCAAGCCUGGGAAAGCUGGCAGAGGAUGCACGUGUUUUACUCACCUGAGUGUUUACAAUGCUCGUGAGGUGCCUCCCUGAUAGUAAUGAUAGCAUCUCACAGUUCAGUUUAAGGAAGCAAUACAGAGACAUGCAAAUCAUCCCUAAGACAUGAGUACUCCAUGUGAGGGUGUUGUGAGGGCCUAAGAAGAAAGACAAUCAUUUGGGACAACGUUCUGAGAAGGGAGAUGGUUGCUGCCCUCGUGGAUUUAACAGACUUGGUUAUGUGGCUAGUUUUCUUUUUCUUCUUCCAUACCUGAACUGUGGUACUCAAGAGAAUCAUCUGAAGCUUGUGUUGGACAGGACAGGCAAUAACUUCAAACUGAAUAAUGAGGCCCAAGAUGGACAGUCCCUCGUUGAGGGUCAGAGCCAGCACCCUUGUAGACUGUGACUACUAGGCCAACUCCUAGAGCUAGAGUUCCAUAUGGACAAGGACAAGCUCUAGCUAGAUCAGAGCAAUUUCAUCACAAAGCAAGUUUUAUUUUCAAUCAUCGCUGCAGACCACAAAGGUCAGGCUAAAUAUCGACAGAUCUCUAUUGUGGGAAAAUUUGGACUUUUGGCUUAUUAUCAGUACUCAACCUUGAUAGGCAGCACCAGAUUAACUGCUAAAGAUUCUAUGCAUCUUUAUCUCAUUAGCCUUUUACAUUUUAUCCUGUUUCUUAGCCUCGGCUGGGGGACGGGUACAGUCAACUCCCACUGGAGCAACAACAUAAAAGGUGGGAAGGAAAAUGUUUAUGUUGACACCAGGGUAGUGAAAGCUAUCCAAGCUAUGGGGAAUUUAAUGCUGAGGAAAGGCAAGAUCAGGGUGGAGCAUCCGGCUGGGGUAGCUGCCUUUCACUGGACCCCUACCAGCCCAGUUUGGGACAUGCAAGGGGAACAGCACAUAGAUAAAGCUUUCUCAAGGUUUAUGAAAGAACAGACGGCAGCACAGCUAACCUCCAGUGCAAAUAAAAAUCAUACAUUUAAGGAAA
rnacentral:lncRNA from 1 species